rnacentral:lncRNA from 1 species
UCUCUCUCUCCCUCCCUCUCUCCCUCUCUCUCUCUCUCUACCCCCCCUCUCUCUCCCCCUCUCUCUACCCCCCUCUCUCUCUACCCCCCUCUCUCUACCCCCCCUCUCUCUCUACCCCCCCUCUCUCUCCCCCCUCUCUCUACCCCCCUCUCUCUCUACCCCCCUCUCUCUACCCCCCCUCUCUCUCUACCCACCCUCUCUCUCUACCCACCCUCUCUCUCUACCCACCCUCUCUCUACCCCCCCUCUCUCUCUACCCACCCUCUCUCUACCCCCCCUCUCUCUCUACCCACCCUCUCUCUCUACCCACCCUCUCUCUACACCCCCUCUCUCUCCCCCCUCUCUCUCUCUCUCUCUGUGUGCUCUCUUUAUAUAGUAUGUUCCAGUGCACAGUCUGUAGGCUAAAACACAUCCUGCGGCCACGCUGACGCUCAACGAAGACAGUGAAGAAGAAAGAAGAAGGAAAGAAGUGCCUCUUUUCUCUCUCACUCUCUCUCACUCUCUCUCACUCUCUCUCACUCUCUUCUUCCUGGUUACAAAAGAGGUGAAGGUAAAUCUCAGAUGCAGAGAGCCCAGGCAUGGCUGAAAGAGCCUGGAGGUGAAAGCAGGGCUGUUAAGCUGAAGCUGGGUUGUGUUACAGCCCAGUAGGAAGACAUAGCCAUAUGAACGAAUGAAUGAACGGCACAGCAGCACAGAGAAGAGAGAAAUGCAGCAGACAUGGCCAGCGAGCUGUGAUGUGAUGAAAGUGUCCCUCCACAGCAGACGCCCGCCUGCGUCCCUCCCUCCCUCCCUUCAUCAGCUGGGAAGCUUCUCUCCAGAAGGGUGCCUCAGUUACAGGGACCACUCUCCUCUCCAAUCUAGUGCAGUGCUGCAACACCGCCAUAGUGGAGCUCUACUGACACUACCUGGUCAGAAGGGAGCUCUGCAGUGAGACAUUUGAUUUUGGUAGUACUGCACUAUAUACUGCAUGUGCUUUUGGGAGUAAAAUCACCUCCAACCACUGAUACAGGGUCAGAUAUAUUUCAUACCUCUAAUUGUUGUGGGUAGGAUUGGGGGCAGGGUGAACUGAUCCUAGAUCUGUGUCUAAGGUCAACUCCUAUUCAGUAGGCUACUUUGUAAAUUAGUGUAUUAGAUUGUGUUCAGCAUAGGAGAUAAGUCGAGAAUGGAGAAGGGGAUGAGUGAAACAUUUAAGUGGAUCCUGAAUCGAUCCCAAUACAGUGUUAAUCUAGUGAGUGCCCCACUGGCAGACAACACUGGCUAAAAGGUUGACCAGCACAGCGGACUUAAGCCAGUGUCAAACUAGCCACGCUCACUAUUACAAAGCAAGUCAUUUUCAAAUGAAGAUGGUUAGGUUGCAUAAACGUUGGAAUUGGCAGCAUUGUCAGCCAGACUGGCGCUAUUAUGAUUAUACCUAGUGAUUUGGCUGUGGUAAUUAAUGCUGCUCAUUUCACAAUGGACAGAGAGCAAUAAAGAUUGGCUUAUGCUGAGCACAGCGGACUGCCCAUUACACGUCAAGUUGAUUUAGCUAGACAUGCUGUCAACUAGGCUUGGGCGAUAUACUGUAUACCAGGGUAUUUAGACAUACUGACAGUACGAUUGUCAAUACCGUAAAAAAAAAAAAAAGAUAUAAUUGGGGUUGGGGGCCCCACCGCCCCGCGGGGAUCUGUGCUACGUAUCUGGAUCAAGAUCCCCAUGUUGCCUAAAUUGUUGAGCCCCAACAAUUUUUAUUUUUAAAUAGCAUCUUUUGUGUGCACUUCUGGUAAUAUUGUAUACUCCCUACAGAAACAGUACGAAAAUCAAGAUACUGCUCAACCCGAGCACAUUAUAUAUAUUAUA